GAGACUGCCGGUGAUAAACCGGAGGAAGGUGGGGAUGACGUCAAGUCAUCAUGGCCCUUACGAGUAGGGCUACACACGUGCUACAAUGGCGUAUACAAAGAGAAGCGACCUCGCGAGAGCAAGCGGAACUCAUAAAGUACGUCGUAGUCCGGAUUGGAGUCUGCAACUCGACUCCAUGAAGUCGGAAUCGCUAGUAAUCGUAGAUCAGAAUGCUACGGUGAAUACGUUCCCGGGCCUUGUACACACCGCCCGUCACACCAUGGGAGUGGGUUGCAAAAGAAGUAGGUAGCUUAACCUUCGGGAGGGCGCUUACCACUUUGUGAUUCAUGACUGGGGUGAAGUCGUAACAAGGUAACCGUAGGGGAACCUGCGGUUGGAUCACCUCCUUA
rnacentral:rRNA from 1 species